ACGCUGGGCCGAGUAGGACUGAGGCCUCAGGACUCGCAGUCCAGUGCUCUGUCCCCGGGCGCUGGCGGCGGGAGGGGCUUGGCGGAGCGCCCAGAACGGCGCGGGGAGGGCGCCCGGGCCGGAUGCUCCCCUGCCCCGGCCCCGAGCUGCCCCCGGCGGCGGAUCCGCAGAGCAGGAAGGCGCAACAAUGGGGGGCCGGGGGGCCGACAGCGGCGGGGAGCCCCGGUUCCGGAGCCAGGGUGCGGCCCGCCCCGCCACCGGCACUCUGAGAACGGGGUCCCUGCUCAGGGGACGAACGAGAUUAUCGGAUGUCACCGUCUGAGCCCUUACUGUCUUCCGGGACCUGCCUCCACCGUACCUGGUUUAUCUCAUGGGAUCCUCCUCUUACCCCUAUGAUUUAGCCCCAGUUUACAGAUGAAACAAUGCAGGCACAGAGUUUUAAGUAAAAUGCCCAAGCUUUCUGUGUCAUAAAUACAGCCCUCAGCAAUCCUUGUUCAAAGUCCUGACGUGCUAGGGAAGAUCUCGUCCUGUACCCCGCCCCACCCCAUCUUCCCCACCCGCUAAGGGACUUGGAUUCCCACCACUGGCACCCUGUCAUCGAGUUAAGGUCAAAGCAGCCACGAGGCCAGCCCAGACUCCAGGCGAAUGGAGGAAUCACUGGGGGCCAUCUUUGGAGACUACCUACCAUGACAACAGCCUUCAGUCUUUCUUCCACUUUCCAGAGACAUCUUUUAAAAACAGAGGCAUCACUCCCCUGCUGAAAUCCACCAAUGACACCCAUCAUACUCAUGAUACCUGUCACAUUUAAUGCCCCACCUGACCUGGUUCCUGCCCAACUCCACCCCUUACACUUACUGGUCCUUCCUACCUUCCCAGCACCCCUAACUCAUCACUCCAAGCCUCAGUGAGCUACUUCACACUUUGGAUAUCUGACAUUAUUUAUUUAUUCACGUUUUGGGCUCUCCACUAGCAUGUAAGGUCCUCGCCAGCAGUGCCCUUCUCUGUCCUAGCCUGUGUUUACUCCGGGCACCUAGAAAAACAUUAAUCACAGGGCUGGCAUACCAUAAAUCUAUUCUGUGGUUAGCUGAAUUUAUAUCCCUAAAUCUUGGGCAUGUGCUGCCUUGAGAAAUGGAUGAAUUAAUUUUAGAAUAGGCAAAACUACAGUGGUAAUUAUCACACAGACCCAAUAGUGUACCCGUUCCACAAACCCACUGGCAAACAUUUCUACCUUCCUAAUAAAGCGGACAGCUGUUUUUCCCUG